rnacentral:rRNA from 1 species
GACGAACGCUGGCGGCGUGCCUAAUACAUGCAAGUCGAGCGGACGAAUCGAAAGCUUGCUUUUGAUUCGUUAGCGGCGGACGGGUGAGUAACACGUGGGCAACCUGCCCUGUAGACGGGGAUAACACCGAGAAAUCGGUGCUAAUACCGGAUAACACGAAAUGUCACAUGACGUUUCGUUGAAAGACGGCGCAAGCUGCCGCUACAGGAUGGGCCAGCGGCGCAUUAGCUAGUUGGUGAGGUAACGGCUCACCAAGGCGACGAUACGUAGCCGACCUGAGAGGGUGAUCGGCCACACUGGGACUGAGACACGGCCCAGACUCCUACGGGAGGCAGCAGUAGGGAAUCUUCCGCAAUGGACGAAAGUCUGACGGAGCAACGCCGCGUGAGCGAAGAAGGCCUUCGGGUCGUAAAGCUCUGUUGUUAGGGAAGAACAAGUAACGCAGUAACUGGCGUUACCGUGACGGUACCUAACGAGAAAGCCACGGCUAACUACGUG